rnacentral:rRNA from 1 species
AUUGAACGCUGGCGGCAUGCCUUACACAUGCAAGUCGAACGGCAGCACGGGUGCUUGCACCUGGUGGCGAGUGGCGAACGGGUGAGUAAUACAUCGGAACGUACCUUAUCGCGGGGGAUAACGCAGCGAAAGCUGUGCUAAUACCGCAUACGCCCUGAGGGGGAAAGCGGGGGAUCGAAAGACCUCGCGCGAUUAGAGCGGCCGAUGCCUGAUUAGCUUGUUGGUGGGGUAAAAGCCCACCAAGGCGACGAUCAGUAGCUGGUCUGAGAGGACGAUCAGCCACACUGGGACUGAGACACGGCCCAGACUCCUACGGGAGGCAGCAGUGGGGAAUUUUGGACAAUGGGGGCAACCCUGAUCCAGCAGUGCCGCGUGAGUGAAGAAGGCCUUCGGGUUGUAAAGCUCUUUUGUCAGGGAAGAAACACCGGCUCUAACACAGUCCGGGAAUGACGGUACCUGAAGAAUAAGCACCGGCUAACUACGUGCCAGCCGCCGCGGUAA